rnacentral:lncRNA from 1 species
ACGGUGGCAGAACAUGAGAUUAAAAAGUCACUGAAGUCCAUCAACUCUAGGCUUCAACUCGUUAUUAAAAGUGGAAAGUAUGUGCUUGGGUACAAGAAAACUCUGAAUUCGAUCAUGCAAGACCAAGUGAAAUUGCUCUUCCUUGCCAACAUUCUUCCUGCCCAGCUUUGAGGAAUUCCCAAAUAGAGUACUACAGCAUGUUGGCCAAAAUUGGCAUCCAUCACUAAGAAUAUUGAAUUUGGUCAGUGUGCAGAAAAUACUGCAGAGUAUGUACACUGGCUGUCACUGAUCUAGGUGGCUGAUAUCCUUAGAAGCAUGCCAGAACAGAUGGGUGAAAAGUAA